AUGAUAAGAGAAUGGUGGAUGACUGGAGAAAGGUGGAUGAUAAGAGAAUGGUGGAUGACUGGAGAAAGGUGGAUGAUAAGAGAAUGGUGGAUGACUGGAGAAAGGUGGAUGACCGGAGAAAGGUGGAUGACUGGAGAAAGGUGGAUGACCGGAGAAAGGUGGAUGAUUGGAGAAAGGUGGAUGAUUAGAGAAAGGUGGAUGAUUAGAGAAAGGUGGAUGAUUGGAGAAAGGUGGAUGAUAAGAGAAAGGUGGAUGAUUAGAGAAAGGUGGAUGAUAAGAGAAAGGUGGAUGAUUAGAGAAAGGUGGAUGAUUAGAGAAAGGUGGAUGAUAAGAGAAAGGUGGAUGACCGGAGAAAGGUGGAUGCUGUGGAGUUCCUUCUGGGUCGAGUCAUUCCUCAGAUUUGGGGUUAUUGGGGUGGUAAACAGGUUUGCAGCUGUCUAUAUAUUUAGGAAUGUAAUAUUCGGGUUUACGGCCUUUAUUGUCUUGGGUAAAAGUAAGAGCAUAGCAAAUAUGCAAUUUACACUGCUAGAAACAGGAAGUACCAAAAUAAAAGUCCAGGAUUGUGCGGCGUGUUUACGAAAUCAGAUAGCCAAUUAAAUCUAACAUAUCAGGGGAAUUAAAAAAUAUACUUUAGCCACCAGGAUUUAAAAUAAUCUAAAAUACCAAGAAAACAUAUUUGGGGGGAUAUUAUUUUCCGUUUUCGUGGCCUUUUAAUGGUGAAUGCUGGAAUGUUGAUCAACCAGCCACAAGGGGGCUCACUGUGUCAUGAAUCAUGCCUGCACUCCCCCGCCCCCUCCCGGCUACACAGUGGGGUUAACUACCGCAAUCGUCCAGAUUGUACUUUGUUACGUAUUAUCGUGAGAAUAAAAAUAGUCCGUAAAAUGUCCAUGAAAUUGAUGAACGAUAGAGCGUCUUUAUACCAAACGCACUAUCAGCAUUACAACUACCGCAGCUCUGCCAGUCUGGGACGAGCUUUUCAUUGACCAAUGAGAUCCCGCCAUGUUGCUAUGCUACUGUUAGGGUUCUGUGGACCAAUAGAAAGCCCUGUCAGUGUUGCCAAGACACUUCUGCAACGUUACCUUCAAAGACGUGGCGCCCAUUAGCAAAAGAAGAAAGACCGACCGCAGAAGUUUAGAAAUAACGGGAAAAUGAGUAGAGAUCGGGCCCGUUGAUACGGGCUGUCCGCUCCCUGUACGAUCGGUGCCAGAGUUUGGUCCGAAUUGCUGGCAGUAAGUCGAACUCGUUUCCGGUGAGGGUUGGCCUCCGCCAGGGCUGCCCUUUGUCAC
rnacentral:lncRNA from 1 species